GGAAGGGCGACCAACCGUGAGGAGGAAGCGUGGAUCGAAACUGAGGGCCGAUGAACAAGAAUCGGAUAUGGCGGUGCCGACCAGGGCGAGCGGGCAAAGAACGGUGAAGCUCUCUUGACCAAGAGGCGGUGGCGUAGAUCCGGCGGUCGGGCAGUGAAGGAGUGCGCUC
rnacentral:ncRNA from 1 species